rnacentral:rRNA from 1 species
UUAAGCGACUAAGCGUACACGGUGGAUGCCCUGGCAGUCAGAGGCGAUGAAGGACGUGCUAAUCUGCGAUAAGCGUCGGUAAGGUGAUAUGAACCGUUAUAACCGGCGAUUUCCGAAUGGGGAAACCCAGUGUGUUUCGACACACUAUCAUUAACUGAAUCCAUAGGUUAAUGAGGCGAACCGGGGGAACUGAAACAUCUAAGUACCCCGAGGAAAAGAAAUCAACCGAGAUUCCCCCAGUAGCGGCGAGCGAACGGGGAGCAGCCCAGAGCCUGAAUCAGUGUGUGUGUUAGUGGAAGCGUCUGGAAAGGCGCGCGAUACAGGGUGACAGCCCCGUACACAAAAAUGCACAUGCUGUGAGCUCGAUGAGUAGGGCGGGACACGUGGUAUCCUGUCUGAAUAUGGGGGGACCAUCCUCCAAGGCUAAAUACUCCUGACUGACCGAUAGUGAACCAGUACCGUGAGGGAAAGGCGAAAAGAACCCCGGCGAGGGGAGUGAAAAAGAACCUGAAACCGUGUACGUACAAGCAGUGGGAGCACGCUUAGGCGUGUGACUGCGUACCUUUUGUAUAAUGGGUCAGCGACUUAUAUUCUGUAGCAAGGUUAACCGAAUAGGGGAGCCGAAGGGAAACCGAGUCUUAACUGGGCGUUAAGUUGCAGGGUAUAGACCCGAAACCCGGUGAUCUAGCCAUGGGCAGGUUGAAGGUUGGGUAACACUAACUGGAGGACCGAACCGACUAAUGUUGAAAAAUUAGCGGAUGACUUGUGGCUGGGGGUGAAAGGCCAAUCAAACCGGGAGAUAGCUGGUUCUCCCCGAAAGCUAUUUAGGUAGCGCCUCGUGAAUUCAUCUCCGGGGGUAGAGCACUGUUUCGGCAAGGGGGUCAUCCCGACUUACCAACCCGAUGCAAACUGCGAAUACCGGAGAAUGUUAUCACGGGAGACACACGGCGGGUGCUAACGUCCGUCGUGAAGAGGGAAACAACCCAGACCGCCAGCUAAGGUCCCAAAGUCAUGGUUAAGUGGGAAACGAUGUGGGAAGGCCCAGACAGCCAGGAUGUUGGCUUAGAAGCAGCCAUCAUUUAAAGAAAGCGUAAUAGCUCACUGGUCGAGUCGGCCUGCGCGGAAGAUGUAACGGGGCUAAACCAUGCACCGAAGCUGCGGCAGCGACGCUUAUGCGUUGUUGGGUAGGGGAGCGUUCUGUAAGCCUGCGAAGGUGUGCUGUGAGGCAUGCUGGAGGUAUCAGAAGUGCGAAUGCUGACAUAAGUAACGAUAAAGCGGGUGAAAAGCCCGCUCGCCGGAAGACCAAGGGUUCCUGUCCAACGUUAAUCGGGGCAGGGUGAGUCGACCCCUAAGGCGAGGCCGAAAGGCGUAGUCGAUGGGAAACAGGUUAAUAUUCCUGUACUUGGUGUUACUGCGAAGGGGGGACGGAGAAGGCUAUGUUGGCCGGGCGACGGUUGUCCCGGUUUAAGCGUGUAGGCUGGUUUUCCAGGCAAAUCCGGAAAAUCAAGGCUGAGGCGUGAUGACGAGGCACUACGGUGCUGAAGCAACAAAUGCCCUGCUUCCAGGAAAAGCCUCUAAGCAUCAGGUAACAUCAAAUCGUACCCCAAACCGACACAGGUGGUCAGGUAGAGAAUACCAAGGCGCUUGAGAGAACUCGGGUGAAGGAACUAGGCAAAAUGGUGCCGUAACUUCGGGAGAAGGCACGCUGAUAUGUAGGUGAAGUCCCUCGCGGAUGGAGCUGAAAUCAGUCGAAGAUACCAGCUGGCUGCAACUGUUUAUUAAAAACACAGCACUGUGCAAACACGAAAGUGGACGUAUACGGUGUGACGCCUGCCCGGUGCCGGAAGGUUAAUUGAUGGGGUUAGCGCAAGCGAAGCUCUUGAUCGAAGCCCCGGUAAACGGCGGCCGUAACUAUAACGGUCCUAAGGUAGCGAAAUUCCUUGUCGGGUAAGUUCCGACCUGCACGAAUGGCGUAAUGAUGGCCAGGCUGUCUCCACCCGAGACUCAGUGAAAUUGAACUCGCUGUGAAGAUGCAGUGUACCCGCGGCAAGACGGAAAGACCCCGUGAACCUUUACUAUAGCUUGACACUGAACAUUGAGCCUUGAUGUGUAGGAUAGGUGGGAGGCUUAGAAGUGUGGACGCCAGUCUGCAUGGAGCCGACCUUGAAAUACCACCCUUUAAUGUUUGAUGUUCUAACGUUGACCCGUAAUCCGGGUUGCGGACAGUGUCUGGUGGGUAGUUUGACUGGGGCGGUCUCCUCCUAAAGAGUAACGGAGGAGCACGAAGGUUGGCUAAUCCUGGUCGGACAUCAGGAGGUUAGUGCAAUGGCAUAAGCCAGCUUGACUGCGAGCGUGACGGCGCGAGCAGGUGCGAAAGCAGGUCAUAGUGAUCCGGUGGUUCUGAAUGGAAGGGCCAUCGCUCAACGGAUAAAAGGUACUCCGGGGAUAACAGGCUGAUACCGCCCAAGAGUUCAUAUCGACGGCGGUGUUUGGCACCUCGAUGUCGGCUCAUCACAUCCUGGGGCUGAAGUAGGUCCCAAGGGUAUGGCUGUUCGCCAUUUAAAGUGGUACGCGAGCUGGGUUUAGAACGUCGUGAGACAGUUCGGUCCCUAUCUGCCGUGGGCGCUGGAGAACUGAGGGGGGCUGCUCCUAGUACGAGAGGACCGGAGUGGACGCAUCACUGGUGUUCGGGUUGUCAUGCCAAUGGCACUGCCCGGUAGCUAAAUGCGGAAGAGAUAAGUGCUGAAAGCAUCUAAGCACGAAACUUGCCCCGAGAUGAGUUCUCCCUGACUCCUUGAGAGUCCUGAAGGAACGUUGAAGACGACGACGUUGAUAGGCCGGGUGUGUAAGCGCAGCGAUGCGUUGAGCUAACCGGUACUAAUGAACCGUGAGGCUUAACCUU